ACUGCAAGUCGAGCGCCCCGCAAGGGGAGCGGCAGACGGGUGAGUAACGCGUGGGAAUCUACCCUUUUCUACGGAAUAACGCAGGGAAACUUGUGCUAAUACCGUAUGAGCCCUUCGGGGGAAAGAUUUAUCGGGAAAGGAUGAGCCCGCGUUGGAUUAGCUAGUUGGUGGGGUAAAGGCCUACCAAGGCGACGAUCCAUAGCUGGUCUGAGAGGAUGAUCAGCCACAUUGGGACUGAGACACCGCCCAAACUCCUACGG
rnacentral:rRNA from 1 species